AUUGAACGCUGGCGGCAGGCCUAACACAUGCAAGUCGAACGGUAACAGGAAGCAGCUUGCUGCUUCGCUGACGAGUGGCGGACGGGUGAGUAAUGUCUGGGAAGCUGCCUGAUGGAGGGGGAUAACUACUGGAAACGGUAGCUAAUACCGCAUAAUGUCGCAAGACCAAAGAGGGGGACCUUCGGGCCUCUUGCCAUCGGAUGUGCCCAGAUGGGAUUAGCUUGUUGGUGGGGUAACGGCUCACCAAGGCGACGAUCCCUAGCUGGUCUGAGAGGAUGACCAGCCACACUGGGACUGAGACACGGUCCAGACUCCUACGGGAGGCAGCAGUGGGGAAUAUUGCACAAUGGGCGCAAGCCUGAUGCAGCCAUGCCGCGUGUAUGAAGAAGGCCUUCGGGUUGUAAAGUACUUUCAGCGGGGAGGAAGGGAGUAAAGUUAAUACCCUUGCUCAUUGACGUUACCCGCAGAAGAAGCACCGGCUAACUCCGU
rnacentral:rRNA from 1 species